AUGUGCUUGUAAGACCCCAUGGUCUUGUACAGUGGUGAAAGAGGAGGACGACUCACCCCUUCGUAGGAAGAACACGAGGGCAGGUAUGAGGUUGGUGGCUAUGGAAACACCUGAGAGUGGUCAUGAGGGUAUUAGGGUUACUGCCACUCACAAGGAGACCAAGCUCACAUGCCUUUACACUAAUGCACGCAGCAUGGGUAAUAAACAAGAGGAGCUGGAGGCCAUUGUGUGUUCAGGAAAUUAUGAUAUAGUUGCCAUCAUGGAAACGUGGUGGAACGACUCCCAUAGCUGGAGUGCAGUGAUGGAGGGCUACCGGCUUUUCAAAAGAGACAGGCUGGGUAGGGAAGGUGGUGGUGUAGCUCUCUAUGUUAAAAAAGACUAUGAAUGUGUGGAAAUUAAUAAUGUUGAUGAUAGGGUUGAGAGCAUAUGGAUCAGAAAAAAAAGCAAAGGCCAACAAGACUGACAUUACUGUGGGAGUCUGCUACAGGCCAACCACCCAGGAUGAAGAGGUGGACAAGAGGCUUUAUAAACAUUUGGGUGACGGUCUCUAGGUCACUCCCCCUUGUUCUGGUGGGGGACUUCAACUUCCCCGACAUCUGCUGGAAUUAUAAUACAGCUGACAUGGAACAGUCCCAGAGGUUCCUACAGUAUGUGGGAGAUAACUUCCUGACACAGCUGGUGAGGGAGCCGACAAGGGGAAGCAAUAUCCUGGACCUGCUGUUUGUUAACAGAGAAGGUCUGGUGGGGGAUGUAAAGGUUGGAGGCUGUCGGGGGCAAAGUGAUCACGAGAUGCUAGAUUUCUCUAUCCUUGUUGAACCACGGAGGAGAGUCAGCAGAACUGCCACCUUGGACUUCCAGAGGGCAGACUGCAACCUCUUUAGGACCAUGGUUGAGAGGGUCCCUUGGGAGGAAGUUCUGGAGAGUGUGGGAGCCCAGGAAGGUUGGGAAUAUUUUAAGGAAACUGUUCUAAAGGUGCAGGACCCGACCAUCCCCAUGUCACAGGAAGACGAGCCGACAAGCAAGGAGGCCGGGCUGGCUGAACAGAGACCUUUGGCUGGAUCUCAAGAGCAAAAGGAAAGUUUAUGGUCUCUGGAAGGGUGGGCAAGCUACUUAUGAUGAUUACAAGUAUGUAGUGAAGCAGUGCAGGGAGAAAAUCAGAAAAGUCAAAAUGCAUCUAGAACUGAGCUUGGCCACUAAAGCAAAGGAAAACAGUAAAUGGUUUUAUAAACAUAUUAACAGCAAGAGGAAGGCUAGGGAGAAUCUCCAUCCCUUGUUGGAUGCCGAGGGCAACCUGGUCACCAACGACAGGGAUAAGGCUGAGGUACUUAACGCCACAUUUGCCUCAGUCUUUAAUAGUAAGACUUGUUACUCCCUGGUAACACAGCCCCCUGCUGCUGGUAGAUAGGGAUGGGGAACAGAAUAAGCCCUUCAUGAUCCACGACGAGAUAGUUUUGGACCUGCUGCGAAAGCUGGAUGCCUACAAGUCCAUGAGGCCGGAUGGAUUGCACCCUAGAGUGCUGAGGGAGUUGGCAGAUGUGGUUGCCAAGCCACUCUCCAGUCAUUUUUCAGCAGUCCUGGCUAACUGGGGAUGUCCCAGUGGACUGGAGACUGGCAAAUGUGACUCCCAUCUUCAAAAAGGGCUGAAAAGAUGAUCCUGGUAGCUACAGGCCUAUCAGUCUCACCUCGGUGUCCGGGAAGGUUAUGGAACGAAUAGUCUUGGGAACCAUCAUGGACCAAUUAAAGGUCAACCAGGGGAUCAGGCCCAGUCAGCGUGGGUUUACGAACGGUAGAUCCCUUUUGACCAGCCUGAUUUCAUUCUACGGCAAGGUGACCCGCUUAGUGGAUGAGGGUCAGGCUGUCGAUGUGGUCUACCUGGACUUCAGUAAGGCCUUUGACACUGUCCCCCAUAACAUAAUCGUGGAGAAGCUGGCUGCCCAUGGUCUGGAUGGGUGUACGCUCCACUGAGCGAAGCACUGGCUGGAUGGCCAGGCCCAAAGGGACAUCGUCAAUGGAGUUGAAUCCAGUUGGCGGCCAGUCACGAGCAGUGUCCCCUAAGGCUCAGUGUUGGGGCCGCUUCUGUUUAACUUCACUGAUGAUCUUGAUGAGGGGAUUGAGUGCACCCUCAGUAAAUUUGCAGAUGACACCAAGUUAGGAGGGAAUGUUGAUCUGCCUGAGGGGAGAAAGGCACUACAGACACACCUGGAUAGACUGGAUCGAUGGGCCAAGGUUAAUGGCAUGAGUUUCAAUAGGCUAAGUUUCGGGUCCUGUAUUUUGUUCACAACAACCCCAGGCAACCCUACAGAUUUGGAGAGAUGUGGCUGGAAAGCUGCCUGACGGAAAGGGACCUUGGUGUCCUGAUGGACAGUCAGCUGAAUAUGAGCCAGCAGUGUGCCCAGGUGGCCAAGAAGGCCAAAGGCAUCCUGGCUUAUAUCAGGAAUGGUGUGGUGAGCAGGACAAGGGAAGUCAUCCUGACCCUGUACUCGGCAUUGGUGAGGCCUCACCUCGAGUAUUGUGUUCAGUUUUGGGAUCCUCAGUACAAGAAGGACAUGGAGGUACUGGAGCGGGUCCAGACGAAGGGCAACAAGGCUAGUGAAGGGCUUGGAAAAUCAGCCCUAUGAGGAGUGGCUGAAGGAGCUGGGGCUGUUUAGUCGAGGGAAGAGGAGGCUGAGGGGAGACCUUAUUACUCUCUUCCAGUAUCCUAAAGGUGCUUAGAGUGAGAGCAGGGUAGGUCUCUUCUCACUGGUGACAGGUGACAAGACGAGGGGAAAUGGCCUCAAGUUGCACCAAGGUAAGAUUAG
ensembl:lncRNA